rnacentral:rRNA from 1 species
UACAGAGGGUGCAAGCGUUAAUCGGAAUUACUGGGCGUAAAGCGCGCGUAGGCGGUUUUUUAAGUCGGAUGUGAAAUCCCUGGGCUCAACCUAGGCACUGCAUCCGAUACUGGGAGACUAGAGUGUGGGAGAGGAAGGUAGAAUUCCAGGUGUAGCGGUGAAAUGCGUAGAGAUCUGGAGGAAUACCGAUGGCGAGGGCAGCCUUCUGGCCUGACACUGACGCUGAGGUGCGAAAGCAUGGGGAGCAAACAGG